UACGUAGGGGGCAAGCGUUGUCCGGAAUUAUUUGGGCGAAAGAGCGUGUAGGCGGUCCGGUAAGUCAGCUGUGAAAGUCAAGGGCUCAACCCUUGAAUGCCGGUUGAUACUGUUCGGGCUAGAGUCCGGAAGAGGCGAGUGGAAUUCCCAGUGUAGAGGUGAAAUUCGUAGAUAUUGGGAAGAACACCGGUGGCGAAGGCGGCUCACUGGCUCAUUACUGAGCUCAGGCGCGAUAGC
rnacentral:rRNA from 1 species